GCGGGUGUAGUUUAUUAAAAUGUUGUGUUGUGGUUGCAAAGAUAGAGGGUCCUCUUGCCCGAA
rnacentral:tRNA from 1 species